rnacentral:lncRNA from 1 species
GUAGCCUUCAUAUGGAUAUAUUUCAGUUCAAUCCUACUUAGUUCAACUAAUUAGAUCAACAGUUGUAUAUGAGUGUUUUCAGAAUUUACAUCUUCUGAACAUUUUAGGCAGGGCAUCAAAUCUGAAUUAAAAUAAUAAAAUUUCUUAGUAAAAGUUAGGUCUCAUUUUAAAAUGACUCAGUCUAGAAGAUUGAGAGACUAAAACUGAAGUUUGGUGUUUAAUAUUUUGGAACUCUUUGAUUCUGAUAAAUUAUACUUUUUGUAUUAUCUUCUUGGAUGUUGCUCUUUUGGAAAAAAUGUGUUUUCUAUAUUCUUUGUAACUUGAAAUAUAAAAUGAAUGAUCAGAGAAGAAUACACGUUCUUUAAAUAAGAUGAAAAUUAGAAAGAAAAGUUCUAUUCUGUCUAAUUUGAUUUGCUAAGGAAGAAAUUUCUUAUCUAAAUUCAAAUUUGUAACUAUUUGGGAAAUAAAAAAGAUAAGAUUGAAUGUGGAGAAAGCAAUGCUCUGUGUAAAAUACAUAUAGAAAACAAGUGAGGAAUUACUGCUCUGUAUGGA